rnacentral:ribozyme from 1 species
AUUAUCUUACUCUGCUAAUGGAGUAGGAUCUGAAGCCUCUUGAUGGUUCCACGAGCUCUCCUUCUCAAAUCCUAUUCUGUAAUGUCCUCGUUGUGUAGAGUUCGAUCACAUAUUUGCAACUAUGCACCACUUGGGUACACGGUCUAGUUCCAUGGGCGGUGGUGCUAGGCAGAACAGGAGAGU